rnacentral:pre_miRNA from 1 species
CUCAUAUUAAUUUGUAUAGGGUUGGAACGUUUGCCUACGUUUGCCGCUAGGGGCGCUGUUCCAACUGCAUACAAAUUUGCCUUC